rnacentral:rRNA from 1 species
GACGUAGGGGGCUAGCGUUGUCCGGAUUUAUUGGGCGUAAAGAGCCCGUAGGCGGUUUGUCGCGUCUGCCGUGAAAGUCCGGGGCUCAACUCCGGAUCUGUGGUGGGUACGGGCAGACUAGAGUGAUGUAGGGGAGACUGGAAUUCCUGGUGUAGCGGUGAAAUGCGCAGAUAUCAGGAGGAACACCGAUGGCGAAGGCAGGUCUCUGGGCAUUAACUGACGCUGAGGAGCGAAAGCAUGGGGAGCGAACAGG